rnacentral:snRNA from 1 species
GUGCUUGCUUUGGCAGCACAUAUACUAAAAUUGGAACGAUACAGAGAUUAGGAUGGCCCCUGUGCAAGGAUGACACGCCAAUUCGUGAAGCAUUGCAUAUUUUU